rnacentral:rRNA from 1 species
UACGUAGGGUGCAAGCGUUAAUCGGAAUUACUGGGCGUAAAGCGUGCGCAGGCGGUUUUGUAAGUCUGUCGUGAAAUCCCCCGGGCUUAACCUGGGAACUGCGCUUGUAACUGGCAAGCUGGAGUGUGGCAGAGGGGGGUGGAAUUCCACGUGUAGCAGUGAAAUGCGUAGAGAUGUGGAGGAACACCGAUGGCGAAGGCAGCCCCCUGGGCUAACACUGACGCUGAAGCACGAAAGCGUGGGGAGCAAACAGG